UAACUAAGUUUGAGAUAUUAACAUUAAAUGUGCAAUUAGUGCUGUUCUUAGUUUCCGUGCUGCAGAGUUUAUUAGCUAGUUAAAUAGUUUUCUUCACUGUCACAUUGCCCUUUUCUUUGUUUCACCUCAGCUUCAUGGAUCUGAGAUGGAAACUUGUCUGUCUCAUUAGAUUUGACUCCAAAUUUUUUCUCUUGAAUCAUAAUUCUACUCUGGGGAAAGGUGGAGGAGGCGGGUAAGGAAGAAAUAGCAGCAAAUAAAAGCUGCAGCAUCACCAGUUUUUAAAGUUAUUCAUUCGUGUGGAUAAGGUUACUAAAGGUAUUGCACAACAGAAUUUUCUCUACCCCUCUCUGUACUUCAUUGCUGGAAGGUGGACUGAAGGAGUAACAGUGAGAUUAUGAGCACUUUUAAAUGGUCUUGCUUUUCUUACAGAGAAUGUGUGUCAUCUGAGUUAAAGGAAUCACCAAGUUAUCUUGAUUACUUACAUGGUGAGUAACUGGCUUGACAGUGAGGGAAUGCUUAACAGAUGUAAAAAAAAAAUCCAUUAUAAAUGCAUCAGUUGGAAAGAUGCUAUUCAGGCAAUAUCUGAAUUUAUUACAAUGGAUGUUGGACUGGAUAUUACAUAAGCACUGAUCAAUAACAGACAUAAAGGCAUUUUUCAGAUAUUAAAAAGCAUUUUUGAAAUAUUGAAUUUAAUUUGCAAGGUCUAUAGGCAGUAUUAAACAACAACCCAGAAUUGUUUUAGGAUAGUCAAGGUCUUCCUAUCAAGGCUUCAGUAAUACCACGUACAUUAGAAGACUCAGGAAUUAGCAAAAUUUAUGGAUCCUUCUGAUGAAGAUAAAGAUUUAAAAUAUUUAAGAUUUUAAUACUUUCAAAGAAGACAAAAUCUGUGGUUUUGUGCUGUUAUUUUUUGUGCCUAUGUUAGGGACAAGGAAAAAUACUGCAGUGAAUUAUUGCAUAUUGUAUGUUACAAAUACACAGGACCUUUGAUUUAUUAAGUCUUCUCACCUCUAGGAGAAAAGCAUUAACAUAGUAAACUUUAUUUUUGCCAGACUGAUGCAUUUAUUUAUUGUUUAUAGAUGGAAAAACCUGUGUAUGUGGAUUUUCCUAACAGAUAUUCUAAAGUGUCUUACAGUUGCAAAUUUGGAUUUUAAAAACAUGCAGGAGAUAAGUGAACCAGAAGAAGAAAAAUGUUACUUCAGUACAGAAAGUCUAAGUAAGGACAAAUAUCUUUUCUCUGUCACCCCAUUUAAUCUCUUGUCCUGUUUCUUGCUCAUUUCUUAUUGGGUUCUUGAGAAGAGGCUGAGACAGCUGGGCCUAUUUAGCCUCAAGAAGGCUGAUCUUAUCUAUGUGCACUAAUGUCUGAUGGGACACUGUAAAGUAGAUGGAGGCUCUUCUCAUGGGGCCUAGUGGCAGGACCAGAGGCAAUGGGCAGAAAUGGAAGCACAGGAGCUCCUUUCUGACCAGCAGGAAACACAGUGAGGUUGGUGGAGCAGUGGCACAGGGGGCCCAGAGAGGUGGUGGAGUCUCUGCCUUUGCACAUACUCACCCAAACUGUACAUGGCUCUGAGCAACCUGCUCUGGGUGACCCUGCUUGGAGCAGCAGGGGCUGGACCAGCCAACCUAGAGAGGUCCCUUCCAGCUUCACCAUUCUGUGAUAUGUACAUUUGGUAUAUGUGG